GACGAACGCUGGCGGCGUGCUUAACACAUGCAAGUCGAACGGAAAGGCCCUGCUUUUGUGGGGUGCUCGAGUGGCGAACGGGUGAGUAACACGUGAGUAACCUGCCCUUGACUUUGGGAUAACUUCAGGAAACUGGGGCUCAUACCGGAUAGGAGCUCCUGCUGCAUGGUGGGGGUUGGAAAGUUUCGGCGGUUGGGGAUGGACUCGCGGCUUAUCAGCUUGUUGGUGGGGUAGUGGCUUACCAAGGCUUUGACGGGUAGCCGGCCUGAGAGGGUGACCGGCCACAUUGGGACUGAGAUACGGCCCAGACUCCUACGGGAGGCAGCAGUGGGGAAUAUUGCACAAUGGGCGGAAGCCUGAGGCAGCAACGCCGCGUGCGGGAUGACGGCCUUCGGGUUGUAAACCGCUUUCGCCUGUGACGAAGCGGGAGUGACGGUAAUGGGUAAAGAAGCACCGGCUAACUACGUG
rnacentral:rRNA from 1 species